rnacentral:rRNA from 1 species
UACGUACCGUCCAAACGUUAUACGGAAUUACUGGGCGUAAAGCGCAUGUAGGCGGCAGCGCAAGUCGGGCGUGAAAUCCCACGGCUCAACCGUGGAAGUGCACUCGAAACUGCGCAGCUAGAGUCCUGGAGAGGAAGGUGGAAUGCUUGGUGUAGAGGUGAAAUUCGUAGAUAUCAAGCGGAACACCGGUGGCGAAGGCGGCCUUCUGGACAGUGACUGACGCUGAGAUGCGAAAGCGUGGGGAGCAAACAGG